UACGGAGGGGGCGAGCGUUAUUCGGAAUUAUUGGGCGUAAAGGGCGCGUAGGCGGCUUGGUAAGUCAAAGGUGAAAUCCCUCGGCUCAACUGAGGAAUUGCCUUUGAAACUGCUGAGCUUGAGGCCGGGAGGGGGUAGCGGAAUUCCCAGUGUAGCGGUGAAAUGCGUAGAUACUGGGAGGAACACCAGUGGCGAAGGCGGCUACCUGGACCGGUUCUGACGCUGAUGCGCGAAAGCGUGGGGAGCAAACAGG
rnacentral:rRNA from 1 species